CUUUCUUUGUUCUUCUUUCUUUCUUUCCCCAUACUUUCCAUCUCCUGUUUCCCUCUCGUUUUCGCCUUCUCUUCCACCAUCCUUAAUUUCCACUCCAUUGAAGCAGCACCUCCUUCUCUCUCCAUUGAAGUGAUUUACGAGCUUUCUCACUCCAUUGAAGCAGCACCUCCUUCUCUCUCCAUAUCUCUGGUCUCCAUUGAACUCGCCGUGCUCUAUAUUCUCCAUUGAAGCCUAUUAUGAGCUUUCUCACCUCCAUUGAAGCAGCUUCGAGGUUUGAAGUUUCUGAUUUUUUAAUUUUCGGUUUCAAGGUCGUGAAUUUGCUGAGUAUGAAGUUCGAAGUUUCUAGGUUGUAAAAUAACAAAUUCAGCAAUUUCUCUUUUUUUAAAUAAAUUGUAGGCAGCCUAGCCCUUGCGGAGCUAUGCCAAUGCGAGGCUACGACUAAGAGUUGACUUGUUGUUUGACUAAUUUUUUGUCUCGUUAAUUGCUCGAAUGUCUCGACAUUCGACGCUAGGCUUCGACACUCUAAGCUCGAAAUCCGACGUCUGAGUUCUUAAAA